rnacentral:lncRNA from 1 species
GUUUGGUGAUGUGAUUGCUGGCUCCCAUACUUGCCACCAUUGAGGUCUGACAGAACAGAGCAUAGCUGAGAGGGGCCUCCUCGGAGCUGAGAGCAGGAAGCUGUACUUCAACCUGUAAAUCCGCCAGUAGAUCUCACUGAUCUGGCUUUUACAAGUCCUCUUCAGCUGAUACACAAAGACCCCAGUCUGACAGCAUCACUAUGGAGUGAAGACACAACAAUGUCUCUCUUGGUCCCAGCUUUCUCUCCCUUUCAAGGUUCAGCUGCACACUGAACAGAUCUAUCUGAGAACCUUCAUCUAGCAACUGAUGGACACAGAUGCAGAGAUCCACAGCUAAGCACUGGGCCAAGCUCCCAGAGUCCAGUCGAAGAGAGGGAGGAGUGAUAAUAUGAACAAAGAGGUCAAGACCAUGAUGGGGAAACCCUCAGAAACAGCUGACCUGAGCUAAAAGGAGCUCACUGACUCUGGACUGACAGUGUUGGAACCUGCAUACGACCAAACUAGGCCCUCCCAAUGUGGGUGACAGUUGUGUGGCCUGAGCAAUCUACUGGGCUACUGACAA